UGAACAGGCGGCAGGUCCAGACUACCUCUAGAGCUACCAGAUCCCUAAGUACUCUGACAAGGGCCGUUAGACGAGGUGGAGAGAGCACUGGAAUAGAUGCCAAUGGAAAUUCCUAUGAUCUGAGCACAAAGUUGCUCCAUU